AUGAACGCUGGCGGCGUGCCUAAUACAUGCCAGUCGAGCGAACAGAUAAGGAGCUUGCUCCUUUGACGUUAGCGGCGGACGGGUGAGUAACACGUGGGUAACCUACCUAUAAGACUGGGAUAACUUCGGGAAACCGGAGCUAAUACCGGAUAACAUUUGGAACCGCAUGGUUCUAAAGUGAAAGAUGGUUUUGCUAUCACUUAUAGAUGGACCCGCGCCGUAUUAGCUAGUUGGUAAGGUAACGGCUUACCAAGGCGACGAUACGUAGCCGACCUGAGAGGGUGAUCGGCCACACUGGAACUGAGACACGGUCCAGACUCCUACGGGAGGCAGCAGUAGGGAAUCUUCCGCAAUGGGCGAAAGCCUGACGGAGCAACGCCGCGUGAGUGAUGAAGGGUUUCGGCUCGUAAAACUCUGUUAUUAGGGAAGAACAAACGUGUAAGUAACUGUGCACGUCUUGACGGUACCUAAUCAGAAAGCCACGGCUAACUACGUG
rnacentral:rRNA from 1 species